rnacentral:rRNA from 1 species
UACGUAGGGGGCGAGCGUUGUCCGGAUUUAUUGGGCGUAAAGAGCUCGUAGGCGGCUUAGCAAGUCGGGUGUGAAAACUCCAGGCUCAACCUGGAGACGCCACUCGAGACUGCUAUGGCUAGAGUCCGGUAGGGGACCACGGAAUUCCUGGUGUAGCGGUGAAAUGCGCAGAUAUCGGGAGGAACACCGGUGGCGAAGGCGGUUCUCUGGGCCUUACCUGACGCUGAGGAGCGAAAGCGUGGGGAGCGAACAGG